AUUGAACGCUGGCGGCAGGCUUAACACAUGCAAGUCGAGCGGAGCGAGGGUGCUUGCACCUUAGCUUAGCGGCGGACGGGUGAGUAAUGCUUAGGAAUCUGCCUAUUAGUGGGGGACAACAUUCCGAAAGGGAUGCUAAUACCGCAUACGCCCUACGGGGGAAAGCAGGGGAUCUUCGGACCUUGCGCUAAUAGAUGAGCCUAAGUCGGAUUAGCUAGUUGGUGGGGUAAAGGCCUACCAAGGCGACGAUCUGUAGCGGGUCUGAGAGGAUGAUCCGCCACACUGGGACUGAGACACGGCCCAGACUCCUACGGGAGGCAGCAGUGGGGAAUAUUGGACAAUGGGGGGAACCCUGAUCCAGCCAUGCCGCGUGUGUGAAGAAGGCCUUUUGGUUGUAAAGCACUUUAAGCGAGGAGGAGGCGCUCUAGGAUAAUACCCUAGAUGCGUGGACGUACUCGCAGAUAGCCCCG
rnacentral:rRNA from 1 species